rnacentral:lncRNA from 1 species
UUUCUUUUAUACCCUUUAAGACCUUAUACACUCUUAAAAGACAAUCCCUCUAUAUAAGCAACUUUCUCUACAACUCAAUCUAAAUACCCUUUCAAAAGCUCUCACAAACUUCUCUAUAACUUAAAUUAUAACCCUUAAAUCACCUUAUUUGCUUCUAAAUUCUUAUUCUAUCUUUGCAACUCUCAAUCCAAUGAUAAAAAAAUUCAUUUCUUCACCCCU